rnacentral:rRNA from 1 species
UACAGAGGGUGCGAGCGUUAAUCGGAAUUACUGGGCGUAAAGCGUGCGCAGGCGGUUGUGCAAGACAGAUGUGAAAUCCCCGGGCUUAACCUGGGAACUGCAUUUGUGACUGCACGGCUAGAGUGCGGCAGAGGGGGAUGGAAUUCCGCGUGUAGCAGUGAAAUGCGUAGAUAUGCGGAGGAACACCGAUGGCGAAGGCAAUCCCCUGGGCCUGCACUGACGCUCAUGCACGAAAGCGUGGGGAGCAAACAGG